UACUCCUACGGGAGGCAGCAGUGGGGAAUCUUGCGCAAUGGGCGAAAGCCUGACGCAGCCAUGCCGCGUGAAUGAUGAACGGUCUUACGGAUUGUAAAGUUCUUUAGCCUGUGACGAUGAUGACGGUAACAGGAGAAUAAGCCCCGGCUAACUUCGUGCCAGCAGCCGCGGUAAUACGAAGGGGGCUAGCGUUGUUCGGAAUUACUGGGCGUAAAGCGCGCGUAGGCGGUUUUACAAGCCAGAGGUGAAAUGCCUGAGCUUAACUUGGGAAUUGCCUUUGGAACUGUAUGACUUUGAGGACGAGAGAGGUGAGUGGAAUUCCCAGUGUAGAGGUGAAAUUCGUAGAUAUUG
rnacentral:rRNA from 1 species